CUAAGUCAGAUAUUGGAUUCGUAUGAGGGUUAAAUUUACCAACGGGUGAACGAAAGUGUUGUUGACGCAAAUCCAAUCGUCUGUACAGAAAAGGAGACAGAAAAUGCAGAAAACACCAAAGUACCGGAUACAUGGAUACUACAUUGUAGUACUGCUGACAUGGAUAUUUUCUUCGGCGCAGCUACGGAGGACAUGAAGUGAACAGAGUAUGAUUUGAUGGUUCUGAAUAAACACAGAUAAAAUAUUUUUGAGACCGAAGCAGCAGCCGGUGUUAGCUCCAGUGACACUAUUUUUUUGCCAUUAAGCAUUUAAACCACAUGAUGGUGACAUUGGAAACAAUGAAAAAUUGAAACUAAUUAUUGUAAUUAAAAUACAAUCAAAUUUA